UACGUAGGGGGCGAGUGUUCUCCGGAAUUAUUGGGCGUAAAGGGCACGCAGGCGGUCUCGCAGGUGUGGGGUACCAGCUUCUGGCUUCACCAGAAGAAGCCUCCGCAAACGGCGAGACUUGAGAACGAGAGAGGGACAUGGAAUUCCGGGUGGAGCAGUGAAAUGCGUAGAGACUCGGAGGAACACCAAAGGCGAAGGCAGUGUCCUGGCUCGUUUCUGACGCUCAGGUGCGAAAGCCAGGGGAGCGAACGGG
rnacentral:rRNA from 1 species